rnacentral:tRNA from 1 species
GGUUCAAGUCCCUUGAUCCCCA